AAGUGAAAAGGCUUAAAUGGAUUAGGGGGACGAUAAGACCCUAUAAAGCUUGACAAUAAGUUAAUUAUAUUAUAAAUUGUUAGUAUAACUUGAUUUUAAUUGACGUUUGUUACGUUGGGGCGACGAGAAUAUAAUGAGUAACUGUUCUUAAACAUUUAAUGACAAAUAUAAUUGGUAUUUGAUUGAUCCUUUAUUAAAGAUUAAAAGAUUAAGUUACUUUAGGGAUAACAGCGUAAUCUUCUUUGAGAGUUCAUAUCGACAAGAAGGUUUGCGACCUCGAUGUUGAAUUAAGGUAUCCUUAUGAUGCAGCAGUUAUAAAGGAAGGUCUGUUCGACCUUUAAAUCCUUACAUGA
rnacentral:rRNA from 1 species